UACGUAGGGGGCUAGCGUUGUCCGGAUUUAUUGGGCGUAAAGAGCGUGUAGGCGGCCAGAUAGGUCUGCUGUGAAAACUCGAGGCUCAACCUCGAGCUGUCGGCGGAAACCAUUUGGCUAGAGUCCGGAAGAGGAAAGUGGAAUUCCUGGUGUAGCGGUGAAAUGCGCAGAUAUCAGGAGGAACACCGAUGGCGAAGGCAGGUCUCUGGGCCAUAACUGACGCUGAGAAGCGAAAGCAUGGGGAGCGAACAGG
rnacentral:rRNA from 1 species